rnacentral:rRNA from 1 species
GUUUACGGCCAUAGCACCCUGAAGGCGCCUGAUCUUGUCUGAUCUCGGAAGCUAAGCAGGGUUGGCCGGGUUAGUACUUGGAUGGUAGGAGUAAUGGUCAUAUAUU